rnacentral:rRNA from 1 species
AAUACAUGCAAGGCGAGGGGCAGCAUGAAGUAGCAAUACUUUGAUGGCGACCGGCAAACGGGUGCGGAACACGUACACAACCUUCCUUUUAGUGGGGAAUAGCCCAGAGAAAUUUGGAUUAAUACCCCGUAACAUAACGAUGUGGCAUCACAUUGUUAUUAUAGCUUCGGCGCUAGAUGAUGGGUGUGCGUAUGAUUAGAUAGUUGGCGAGGUAACGGCUCACCAAGUCUACGAUCAUUAGCUGAUGUGAGAGCAUGAUCAGCCACACGGGCACUGAGACACGGGCCCGACUCCUACGGGAGGCAGCAGUAAGGAAUAUUGGUCAAUGGACGCAAGUCUGAACCAGCUAUGCCGCGUGAAGGAUUAAGGUCCUCUGGAUUGUAAACUUCUUUUAUCUGGGACGAAAAAAGGUCUUUCUAGAUCACUUGACGGUACCAGAUGAAUAAGCACCGGCUAACUCCGUGCCAGCAGCCGCGGUAAUACGGAGGGUGCAAGCGUUAUCCGGAUUCACUGGGUUUAAAGGGUGCGUAGGCGGGCAGGUAAGUCAGUGGUGAAAUCCUGGAGCUCAACUCCAGAACUGCCAUUGAUACUAUCUGGCUUGAAUAUUGUGGAGGUAAGCGGAAUAUGUCAUGUAGCCGGCGAAAUGCUUAGAUAUGACAUANAACACCCAUUGCGAAGGCAGCUUACUACGCAUAUAUUGACGCUGAGGCACNAAAGCGUGGGGAUCAAACAGGAUUANAAUNCCCUGGUANGUCCACNCCCUAAAC